UUCAAAAAUGAAAAAAAAUUGUUUUUUGUAAAUUUUGGUGUGUAGAGACAUAACGCUAAGAAACCUAAGAAGUGGCCAAGGAUCGCGGAAGUAUUUAUAAUGGAUGUGUUGAAUUAUACUUAAUGAUAAAUCAGUGAGUACGAAAAAGGCGAUCUUGCCAGUGACCAAUUAAAUAAUGCUACUUUUAUUACCAUUUUUACAUUUAUAUUGAAAAUUAAUCCUAAUAAGUAGGAAUUCAAAAUACAUUUUAUCCACUACUAUCUUCGAUUUGCUACAAUAGAAAGUUGAAUAUUUAAGAAUUUUUUACUACCUACAUAUAUUAAGGGGUUUGCACAUGCAAAAAAUCAAAAGAAAUAAAUUUAUAAAAACCACUUCGUAGUAAAACUAAUACAUUCGUCGGUCCUCGCAAAAUCUAAUAUAUUGUCAAAAACUGUUACACUUAAUGAGUAUUAACUGUUAAAAAAAUCACCCAAUAUAUUACACUAUACACACAUACCUCAGUAGCAGGUAUAUAAUUUCUAAAUAAUUGCAUCACAAGAAAUAAUUAUGAUUAUUGAAGUAUAAUUGGCCAAUGACGAAUUGAAAAUAAAAAACUCAAACCAUAAGGAUUUUUUUUCACUGUUAUCUUUGUGUAUAUUGUUAAUCAAAAUUGAAUGAUUGGUCAUCUUAUUUGAUCCACAAAUGACCUAAUCAUUCAUUAUUCAUAAUAUCACAGUCUACUUAUGUGUGUACGUGUUGCAGUUUAUAUAUUAUAUAUUGACUGUAUAUUAUAUCAUUUAUAGAUACAGAAAUCAUAUUAGUACCGUGUGUAGUAAAUAUACAUACGCUUAUAAUUUUUUUAAUUUUGUUUUUAAGGCUUCAACUAGUUCUACAUUUAACUGUUUAAUGUGAUUAGUCGACAAUAAUUGUGCACGAGUGAAUAAAAUUGAAAUAUUAAUUUACAAUUUACAAAUUUUUGUUUCGGAGAUGCUGCAGCCCAGUACCCUGCACGACCAUUUACGAGUAAUGAGCUACUAUAGCGUAUGUAUGAAUACUGAACAAUAUAAUACAUUGGAAGUAUAAUAAUACAUCACAACAGCCGCACCAGCUCACUAUAAAGGUUGGAUAUAGAAAUAUUAUUCACGUUUGAUGGCGAUCAGAACAAAAAUAAAUUUUAAGAGCAAAAUUGUAGUUUACAACACAAGAUUAAAUUUCGAGUAUCAACUGUAAAUUGCAAUACUUAAUAACUUAUUAGCAAUAAUCUUUGCAGCUAUUUUAUAGGUAUACCGAU